GAUGAACGCUGGCGGCGUGCCUAAUACAUGCAAGUCGAGCGAACGGACGAGAAGCUUGCUUCUCUGAUGUUAGCGGCGGACGGGUGAGUAACACGUGGAUAACCUACCUAUAAGACUGGGAUAACUUCGGGAAACCGGAGCUAAUACCGGAUAAUAUUUUGAACCGCAUGGUUCAAAAGUGAAAGACGGUCUUGCUGUCACUUAUAGAUGGAUCCGCGCUGCAUUAGCUAGUUGGUAAGGUAACGGCUUACCAAGGCAACGAUGCAUAGCCGACCUGAGAGGGUGAUCGGCCACACUGGAACUGAGACACGGUCCAGACGCCUACGGGAGGCAGCAGUAGGGAAUCUUCCGAAAUGGGCGAAAGCCUGACGGAGCAACGCCGCGGGAGUGAUGAAGGUCUUCGGAUCGUAAAACUCUGUUAUUAGGGAAGAACAUAUGUGUAAGUAACUGUGCACAUCUUGACGGUACCUAAUCAGAAAGCCACGGCUAACUACGUG
rnacentral:rRNA from 1 species